CUGUUAGGUAAGAGCUGCGCCGGAUCGUAAUGGACAUUAAUCGCGCGAGCGCUUGGAAAUUUAUGGCCGCUCAUGAUUCAGGCAUCCAUUUCUUUCUCCGAUCAUGAAUCUUUGAUGAGCGGCGUUCCAUCCGUUCUCUUCUCUGGCUUCACAGGUUCGUAGCGAAUCGGGGUUUUCUCGCUCCAGGAUUUGACGGAGUCUUCGUCGAUCGGUCCGGCUGCAAGGCAGAAGAAAUAUUUGUUUGGCCGCUGCGUAUCCGAUCGAGCACCGCCCUCUCCUGUGUCACCUACUUUCUCUACCAACACCUAUGAAGUUAGAUGAUGCAGCAAUUUGCACAACAUUGCUCUAAGGAUAUGGCAACGUAGGCGAGGAAGCGACGGAGCUUCUGGCUGGAGCCUCAUGAGGGAGAAACAGCAUGUUGUUCAUCAGAUCUUGAGCUCUCCCAAACUGUCCUGAGCGACUGAGAUCAAUCCAUGGUCGAUGGUAAUCGACGUGAAGCACACACAGGUGGCUUUUCUCCAAGCAGCCAAUGUGACUAGAUGUGCUAAACACCGCAGGCAAGAACAUCAAUGUUAAAGGCCAGGCAUCUCACGGAAAACUCUGCUCCUGGGUGUAAGCUUUGAUCAUGAGGAUUCAGGCUCCAGGGCCACUUUCUCACGAAUCUUUCGCGCGUUUUUUAACGGACAUGAAAGCUUUCCACGAAGCUCUUUGGGCUUGAUCCA